CACAGAGUUAGCCGUCUCUUCCUCUUCUGGUACUAUCAACGCGUGCACAGUUAAUACACGCGCCUUGUUCCCAAAUGACAGGAGUUUACAACCCGAAGACCUUCAUCCUCCACGCGGCGUCGCUCGAUCAGGGUUUCCCCCAUUGUCAAAAAUUCUCCA
rnacentral:rRNA from 1 species